ACGGGUGAGUAACGCGUAGGUAACCUGCCUCUUAGCGGGGGAUAACUAUUGGAAACGAUAGCUAAUACCGCAUAAAAGUCGACAUUGCAUGAUGUUGACUUGAAAGGUGCAAUUGCAUCACUAAGAGAUGGACCUGCGUUGUAUUAGCUAGUUGGUGAGGUAACGGCUCACCAAGGCGACGAUACAUAGCCGACCUGAGAGGGUGAUCGGCCACACUGGGACUGAGACACGGCCCAGACUCCUACGGGAGGCAGCAGUAGGGAAUCUUCGGCAAUGGGGGCAACCCUGACCGAGCAACGCCGCGUGAGUGAAGAAGGUUUUCGGAUCGUAAAGCUCUGUUGUAAGAGAAGAAUGAGUGUGAGAGUGGAAAGUUCACACUGUGACGGUAACUUACCAGAAAGGGACGGCUAACUACGUGCCAGCAGCCGCGGUAAUACGUAGGUCCCGAGCGUUAUCCGGAUUUAUUGGGCGUAAAGCGAGCGCAGGCGGUUAGAUAAGUCU
rnacentral:rRNA from 1 species